ensembl:lincRNA
AUGCUAACUUGUGAGGUUUCCAAGAGGUGGCGUCUGGGUUCAAGAUCAGGACUGUCUGAUGCCGGAUGUGAGCCCGUAACUUCCUUCCUGUACGACCUCUGUGUAUCCUCACUCCUGCCAGCGGUGGCAGGUCCCGUGAUGCAGUGCGUUAGUACAACCCAGAAGUAUGCGAUCCUGCUGCUGGAGCAUCUCCUUCUCUGGCGAUGGGAGCGAAUCCUGGCGUGCACUUGUGUCCCCACCACCUGCCUGAAGUGUCUACCGUGUGGACCAGAGGCUGCAUUUGCAACUGCCAUUUUGGGUCACGUGGUGACCUUGAGGAUGAAAUUUUGUGAUGAGGAUGUUGGAGAAGGAAGAGUGGAUGACUUCAUGGAGCUGCCACACUGGCCUCAGACUGCCCACCUUCACAACAGGUUUUUAAAUGAACAAUUUCCUCCAGAAACAGAGAUUCUGUGUCUCCAUCUGACCUUGCUGGGACCUGACUUAGACUAUCAAUAUGGAGACAAGGAGGGUUGCUGGAACAAGGCUAACUUUGUCUUGAGGACGACAAGCACUAUCUUGUGAAGAAACCACUUCGGGUGAGAUCACUGAACGUUCUCCAGGCAAGCAGAGUCUAGUAUCCUCUGGCAAAGGUGAAGGUGCUGCUUCCUUGAGAAGGAGGUUUAAGGGAACCUGGAGUUUCAAGAUGCUCAGUUCAUUCACCUAAAUGUCUCCAUCCUAGAGCUCAGUCCCACGUGUCCCCUAUCGGGGUUCUGACUGGACAUGGAAUAUUUGCCAAGUUUCUGCAUUUUAUCUUAGUGGAAAGUAUGGAGCUCAUAUUUUUUUAUUUUUAAAUUAAUUUAUUUUAAUUGGAGGAUAAUUGAUUUAUAGUACUGUGAUUUUUUUUGCCAUACACCAACAUGAAUCAGCCAUAAGUAUACAUGUGUCCCCCCUGGAAUGCUUAACAUCAGGUCCUUGCCCUGAUAUUCAGCCCAGUCUUCCCUGAUACUGCCCCCCAAAAAAGACUUCUUUCAAUAUUACCAUAUCUCAGUCACUUUAGUCGUGUCCAAUCGACUCUUUGUGACCUCAUGGACUGCAGCCCACCAGGCUCCUUUGUCCAUGGAAUUAUCCAGGCAAGAAUACUGGAGUGGGUUGCCAUUUCCUUCUUCAAUAUUGCCACAUAGGUAUCUGAAUUUUAGAUCAUGCCUUAAAUUGACCUCCCUGAGCCUGUUUUUAUUUAAAUGUGUUUAAUGCUGUCAUCAGUAUCCACCCUAAUCCACAAUCUUUGUCAUUAACAUUGUUUCUGUAUUAGUGACUGCUGUGACCACUUGAUCUCCACUGGGCAUUGCCUGACCUCCCUCCGCUUACUCUUUAUCCCAGUUAACUACAGUGAAAGUUGAAGAAAUGGAUCUGCCAAAUGCAGAGGGAUUACUUCCAUUCCAUGUACCAGCAAGAGAGUGCCUGUUACUCUCAGACAGAUGGACAGUUCACCUCCCUAAUUCCAUCCAGAGGAUUAUUUUCUCUGGACACUCUUGGACAGUUGUUUUAGCCCAUGUUUUCUAGGCUAGGACAGAACUUUAAGCAAAGCUCAAAAUGCUAAUGUUAGAUUUGUGAAGUGCAAGAGCAGGGGGAUGAGGGUGAAGGAAAAUGGGAAGUGAGUCAAGGAAAUAAGGAUGUUACUAUACUGGCCAUUGUGUUACAAGUGGUGGAAAGACUUUCAACUCAAUUGGUUUGCAUCCUCAGGCUGCACUUGGGAUUUUCUCCAUAAGAUUUUCAAGGAGAAACUAGCCCUCAGAGUAAUCCAUGGACGGGAGAAAUGGGGAUAAAUUUUUUAUGCAGCUCCCUUCCAUCUUCCAUUCCUUAGGGGUACUAACACCACUGUGUUAUAUUAUCUGGCUUUAUGAUCAGAUCACGCUCAGAGAGCCAAGUGCCAUGUCCUGAGUGUGGAGUUUUAGCUAAAGCUAGACCUGGAGGGCACCUCAAUAUGGCACAUGGUACACAUUGCCCCAUGUGGCUGGGGCCUACCUUGGACUUCUGCUGAGGGAGGUCAUUUCAAGCAGUAGCAGCAGCGCAGAUCGGGAGAGAGGCAGAGCCUCAGGAAGGAAACCAAGGAUUAUAAUUCAAGGAAGCACAAAGUCUAGUGUCGCGUAUAUUGUGCUUCAGGAUAACAGGAAAGAAUUAGGUUCAUGUUACUCCUUUCUUGAAGACUGCUUAGCCAGAUGCGAUUCUGUUACUUUCAAGGGCCCAACGUAUUGUAAUUUAAGGCUUAAAGAUGAACAUUGCCCAUGAAAGCAUCCAGGUGUGCCUGGUUUUAUGCAAGAGCUCUGCUCCUGAAAAGUAUGGGAGAGCUCCAUGUUUCAAGAAUCCAGACGAUAACCCUUUCUGUAAAGUGUGGAUUCCUUUUUUUUUUGCUAUUUGAAUUGUCAUGCUCUAAUUUAGCAGCUGCAAGAGUUCAGUUUCAGUAUAAUGGGCUUUCUGAAAGGUCCACAUAAUCCAGUGUUGGAUUCCGAUCUCCAAAAUGUAACUUAUUGUUUCCUCAGGCCAGACUGAAUUUUUUCCCCCUGGGGAUAAAGCCGAUGGCUUCCAGAUAUUGUACAUUCUCAAGUGAACCUGAAGGGCAUGCAUUUUUCUCUUGAGAUGGCUCCUGGCUUGCAACUCUGUGCUGGGUUUUGUGGAGCUCCAUAGGCUGGGACAGCCACAGGUACUGGUGAAGGAAAACCAGAGUGAAGCUUUUAAUUUAAAUUUAACAAAUUAAAAAAAUUUUUUUAAUUGGAGUGUAGUUGCUUUACAAUGUUAUGUUAGUUUCUGCUAUACAACAAAGUGAAUCAGUUAUACGUAUACAUAUGAUCCCUCUUUUUUAGAUUUCCUUCCCAUUUAGGUCUCCACAGAGCACUGAGUCGAGCUCCCCGUGCCAUACACUCGGUUCUCAUUAGUUAUCAAUUUCAUACAUAGUAUCAGUAGUGUAUAUACGUCAAUCCCAGUCUCCCAAUUCAUCCCACACCCAAGCCUUCACUAACUUUUGACAGCAGAACAUACAAAAUAAGAAUAAAAAAAAU